rnacentral:rRNA from 1 species
GACGAACGCUGGCGGCGUGCCUAAUACAUGCAAGUCGAACGAGAGCGACCGGUGCUUGCACUGGUCAAUCUAGUGGCGAACGGGUGAGUAACACGUGGGUAACCUGCCCAUCAGAGGGGGAUAACAUUCGGAAACGGAUGCUAAAACCGCAUAGGUCUUCGAACCGCAUGGUUUGAAGAGGAAAAGAGGCGCAAGCUUCUGCUGAUGGAUGGACCCGCGGUGCAUUAGCUAGUUGGUGAGGUAACGGCUCACCAAGGCCGUGAUGCAUAGCCGACCUGAGAGGGUGAUCGGCCACAUUGGGACUGAGACACGGCCCAAACUCCUACGGGAGGCAGCAGUAGGGAAUCUUCCGCAAUGGACGCAAGUCUGACGGAGCAACGCCGCGUGAGUGAAGAAGGUUCUCGGAUCGUAAAACUCUGUUGUUAGAGAAGAAUAAGUGCUAGAGUAACUGUUAGCGCCUUGACGGUAUCUAACCAGAAAGCCACGGCUAACUACGUG